rnacentral:ncRNA from 1 species
UAUGGCCGGUGCGGGUGUACGCCCUUCCAACCUUGAACGGUUUCUCGACGCGGGUAUCGCGGAGGUUCACAGUUCAGCGGGAAGGUGGACGCCAUCACCAAUGCGUUAUCGUCAUUCAGGAUUGUCGAUGUCUUCGGAUGCCAGCGCGGAUGAAUAUUCCCGUUAUGGCGUUGAUGGCGACGCGGUUUCUGAGAUGAAAGCGAUGAUCGCCCGUCAUCGCUUUUGUUAACCCUUUUUACCGCGCAUCAUGUCGCCCAAUGUGAUGCUUGCUUGUACCAGGCCCCUGCAAUUUCAACAGGGGCCUUUUUU